rnacentral:rRNA from 1 species
UACGUAGGGUGCGAGCGUUGUCCGGAAUUAUUGGGCGUAAAGGAGCUUGUAGGUGGUUUGUCGCGUCUGCUGUGAAAAUCCGAGGCUCAACCUCGGACUUGCAGUGGGUACGGGCAGAUCUAGAGUGUGGUAGGGGAGACUGGAAUUCCGUGGUGUAGCGGUGGAAUGCGCAGAUAUCAGGAGGAACGACCGGUGGCGAAGGCGGGUCUCGCUGGGACGGUACUGACGCUGAGACGCGAAAGCGUGGGGAGCGAACAGG